rnacentral:rRNA from 1 species
UAGGGAAUCUUCGGCAAUGGACGAAAGUCUGACCGAGCAACGCCGCGUGAGUGAAGAAGGUUUUCGGAUCGUAAAACUCUGUUGUUAGAGAAGAACAAGGACGUUAGUAACUGAACGUCCCCUGACGGUAUCUAACCAGAAAGCCACGGCUAACUACGUGCCAGCAGCCGCGGUAAUACGUAGGUGGCAAGCGUUGUCCGGAUUUAUUGGGCGUAAAGCGAGCGCAGGCGGUUUCUUAAGUCGGAUGUGAAAGCCCCCGGCUCAACCGGGGAGGGUCAUUGGAAACUGGGAGACUUGAGUGCAGAAGAGGAGGGUGGAAUUCCAUGUGUAGCGGUGAAAUGCGUAGAUAUAUGGAGGAAAACCAGUGGCGAAGGCGGCUCUCUGGUCUGUAACUGACGCUGAGGCUCGAAAGCGUGGGGAGCAAACAGG